CGGUGUUUGUUUGUUUUACUGUUUUUGUAAGUGUCUGCGCUAUCUACCUAUCACUUAAUCUAUAUAUUAGUUAAUAAAGUUGCACCUCAACUGACUGCGUUGUCUGUUCUAUCUUCACUGUGAAAAAAUUAGAGUGUUCAAAGCAGGCCUUUGCUCGAAUACAUUAGCAUGGCAUAAUAGAGUAGUACGUGCGGUUCUAUUUUGUUGGUUUCUAGGAUCGUCGUAAUGAUUAAUAGGGAUAUUCGGAGGCGUCAGUCUUCCAGCCGCUGAGCUGUAUUUUCCCCGUG
rnacentral:ncRNA from 1 species